rnacentral:tRNA from 1 species
CAGAUUAGUGCUAUGAACUUAAGAUUCAUAUAUAAAGUAUUUAACUUUUAUUAGAA